rnacentral:rRNA from 1 species
UACGUAGGGUGCGAGCGUUAAUCGGAAUUACUGGGCGUAAAGCGUGCGCAGGCGGUUUUGUAAGGCAGAUGUGAAAUCCCCGGGCUCAACCUGGGAAUGGCAUUUGGGACUGCAAGGCUGGAGUACGGCAGAGGAGACUGGAAUUCCUGGUGUAGCAGUGAAAUGCGUAGAGAUCAGGAGGAAUACCGCGGGCGAAGGCAGGUCUCUGGGCUGAUACUGACGCUCAUGCACGAAAGCGUGGGGAGCAAACAGG